UACGUAGGGGGCAAGCGUUGUCCGGAUUUAUUGGGCGUAAAGAGCGUGUAGGCGGCCAUACAGGUCAGCUGUGAAAACUCGAGGCUCAACCUCGAGACGCCGAUGGAAACCAUCUGGCUAGAGUCCGGAAGAGGAGAGUGGAAUUCCUGGUGUAGCGGUGAAAUGCGCAGAUAUCAGGAAGAACACCCGUGGCUAAGGCGGCUCUCUAGUACGGUACUGACGCUGAGACGCGAAAGCGUGGGGAGCGAACAGG
rnacentral:rRNA from 1 species